CCUCCAGUGGUGUAACUGUUAGCACAUUUGCUUGGCAAGUGAAAGGUUGCUGGUUUGAUUCCAGCUGGAGAU
rnacentral:tRNA from 1 species